rnacentral:misc_RNA from 1 species
AGCUCACUUCGUGCUCUAAAUAGUUGCACACAACAAAAAUUUUCCUUGAUCAUCUCUCGAAUAACCAUUAAGGUUCCUUGAGAAAAAGCUUUUGCUGGAGAUGGAAAUAGCAUAAUCAUAAAUUUCAUCAUGCGGAUCACGCAAGUGUUGUUUAAGAAUGUCUCCAACCUCAUUCAACGCUUCAGUCGCUAUCGACAAUCUUCGUUGUCGAUUGAGAAAUUCACGUCGUUCGGUAAGACUGCAAAGCCUAUAGAAUCUUUCAAGUUUGGUCGCAAUGAAUUACGUGUACGACUUGCACACGCUAUAAGUGAGAUUGAUCUCCUUCCUGAGAAUUUACUUAAAAUCAGUUCAGUUGAACUUGUCAGAGGAUGGUAUGUUCAAAGCUUUAGUGAGGUAACUGAGUUCCAAGAUGCACAAGAAACAGAUGAAGUUUUCAAGAGAUAUACCCAGUGUUUGAUGGACAUCAAACAGCGCCAUAAGUAUGUUGUUGAGACCAUGGCUCAGGGAAUUAUGGAAUUAAGAGAGAAGGAGGGUGAUGAUGCAUUUCAUCCAUCAGUACAAUACUUUUUAGAUCGUUUUUAUAUGAAUAUGAUAGGUUUUCAAAUGCAUACCAAACAACAUUUGAAGCUGUUUGGUGAAGAUGCAAGAAGCUCCAAAAGCGAUUUCAUUGGUUGUUUUAACCCAACUUGUUGUGUUACUUCAGUGGUACAAAGUGCAAUCGAGAAUGCUGCCUUCCUUUGUGAACAUUAUUAUUGUGCUGCUCCUGAGGUGGAAAUUUCUGAAUUUAAUGCUGUUGAUCUUAAGAAACCAAUCCAAAUGGCCUAUGUUCCUGAACACUUGUAUCACAUGCUCUUUGAAUUGUUGAAGAAUGCCAUGCGAGCAGUUGUGGAGCAACACGGAAGCAAUAUUUCCAUUCCUCCAAUAAAGAUGAUGAUAACCAAAGGUAGACAGGACAUGACAAUCAAGAUUUCUGAUCAAGGAGGUGGAAUCCCAAGGAGUACAAUUGACCAAGUGUUUGAGUAUCACUAUACAUCAGCAUCAGAGCCACUAAAAGCUGGUCCUGCUUCACCUAUAGCCGGUUAUGGAUACGGGCUGCCAUUAUCUAGACUCUAUGCCAGAUAUUUUGAUGGAGAAUUGCAACUUUAUUCCAUGGAGGGUUUUGGUACAGAUGCGGUGAUCUGGUUAAAGAAUUAGACUUCACUGUAAACUCAGGAAAGAUGCCAUAAAAGUAAACUGUAAGGCCGAAGAGGAAUGAUCGAGAGAGCGCUAUCAGCUGAAGCAAGUGAAAACUUACCUCAGUACACCAAAAGGACACCAAAGAAUUACGAAGCUAGACUAUCAGCUCAGC